UGGGGUGUGGCUCAGCAGUAGAGCACUUGCCUCCCCAGUAUGAGUUACUGGGUUUGAUCCUCAGCACCACAU
rfam:Ictidomys tridecemlineatus contig015366, whole genome shotgun sequence.